rnacentral:rRNA from 1 species
GAUGAACGCUGGCGGCGUGCUUAACCCUUACAAGUCGAACGAUGAACCGGGUGCUUGCACUCGGGGAUUAGUGGCGAACGGGUGAGUAACACGUGAGCAACCUGCCCCUGACUCUGGGAUAAGCGCUGGAAACGGCGUCUAAUACUGGAUAUGUCCCGUCACCGCAGGGUGUGCGGGUGGAAAGAUUUUUCGGUUGGGGAUGGGCUCGCGGCCUAUCAGCUUGUUGGUGAGGUAAUGGCUGACCAAGGCGUCGACGGGUAGCCGGCCUGAGAGGGUGACCGGCCACACUGGGACUGAGACACGGCCCAGACUCCUACGGGAGGCAGCAGUGGGGAAUAUUGCACAAUGGGCGGAAGCCUGAUGCAGCAACGCCGCGUGAGGGAUGACGGCCUUCGGGUUGUAAACCUCUUUUAGCAGGGAAGAAGCGAGAGUGACGGUACCUGCAGAAAAAGCACCGGCUAACUACGUGCCAGCCGCCGCGGUAA